UCUCGAAGGAUCUAACAAGCGGUUGAUGCAGCUGCGAAUGUGUAGUCAGUCGGCUUUUAUCGUUUUAUGUUGUGCAGAUUGUUAGUUCACCGUAAAUAUGUCUUGAUUUGUACUCAAGAGUGGAGCAAGGCCCCAAGGAACAGAGAUUGACGCAACGGGAGCGAAGAACAGAAGCGAUGGAUGGUUACGCUGGUUGACUCUCGGCAUGUUCAAAAUGGCGAAGUUCCGAAUUUGUCGCUGUGUGACGUGCGCGUGUGUGCUCGUGAUGUGCCGUCAUAGCGCGGGGAUAUUUGUGCUGAAUGUGUUUCACUUCGUCUACAAAACUCUGCACGCAAUGGCAUCGAAGAAGUCGUGUGUUCAGGUGCACGUAUGUGCAUGCUUGGAUACGGAAAGCCUGCCCUCAACGGUAGCGCUGAGCUCAGCCGUGUUGGCUCAGCGCUACCCCCUCAACGGAUGUUCAACAGUCUACGUGCUCGUAACUUGCUGACGAGACCUCCUUGCUGUUGCAACUCUGAGGACAAUUGCUUCAAAUGGGAAGGAACAACCAGCACUGCCAGCGCUAUUUGUACAUGAGGACACCUCCUUGCUGUUGCAACUCUGAGGACAAUUGCUUCAAAUGGGAAGGAACAACCAGCAGUGCCAGCGCUAUUUGUACAUGAGGACACCUCCUUGCUGUUGCAACUCUGAGGACAAUUGCUUCAAAUGGGAAGGAACAACCAGCAGUGCCAGCGCUAUUUGUACAUGAGGACGACGAGAGGGUUCCACUCACCCCCUGUGUGGUGUAUUCUGGCCACAACCUGGAACAGGCAGAGUUUCUCCACCUCUGUGUCGACAAGGAGCGGCUGUUCAUGGUCAAAAAUGCGGAGGAAGGGGUCAUCGCAAUCAUGAG